rnacentral:lncRNA from 1 species
CAAUAAAGGCGUAAAAGAGAGUAUAAUAACUUUAUCACAUCAUCCAGACUUAAGAGUCUUAAACAGUAUCAUGAUCAAAGUACAACAGAAAUAUCAUGGGCAAUCUCCCAUAGAAAGAUGACCGGAGCGUUGCUAGACUCAAUACUCGUCAACAUCUUUGUCAAAGUCUUCUGAUUCACCUUCUGAUAAAAAAUUUAGCAAUGGGUAAGCUCACUUAUGGUGGGGGCUCAACAAGUGAGACAAGUUAUGCAAGAUUAACAAGGUAGGCUAUGAUUAAGCGUUAAGCAUUUUAGUUGGUCAGUAUUUUAUUAACAACGCAUAACUUACUAAUUAUAAGUGUAUCCCAAAAAUUUCCAAUUAAACAUAAGUACACGAUUAUAUCUCAAAAGCACUUAAGUGAAUCCACUUAAGCAAACCAUUUAGAAACCAUUGGAUCAUGAUUUAUUCUUCAUCUUUAAGUUUAGUUAUCAUGUGAGAAUCUAGGUUGCUCUUAACCAUGAGCACGACUGACAUAUCCGUUUCACACUCUGCGGAGGUGAUACAACUUUACCCACAAGCCAUGUAUCCCAUCUAGCCUGGGUUGUACGAACCCUUAAACACUACCAAGGUGAAUGACUAGGGAUCCAUUAUGAGGCUUUCACAAAAUAUUCUUAGUACAAAGCCACCCGCCACGUCAGUAUUUGUGACUCUCUAGGCGAGUUAACUUAGCCAAGACUACCACCCCAUGUUAAUAUGAGUUGCCACCAAACCACAGUCGCCCCCUCUUGCCCAUCUUUUAGGUAGGGUUGCUAAGCACUAAGUCUAUAAAGCUAUUUACCAAAGCCAGAGUCAUGAUAGCAUUCGUGGUUGCACUGUUUUCUUGGGUGGUCAUUCCAUGUUCCGUUUAAUACAACAUAAUCUUGUUUAAUCAUCGGAUUAAAACAACAAGAUUCAUUUCAUUUCCCGAACAAUAAUAUCUUCAAAGAGUGACAGCAUAAAAAUACAGUUCAGCAAUAGCAUAAUCCCCGGUUAAACAAGAAAUAUGGAUAGUAUUUCUAAGUAGUCCUAUUUAGGCAAACCCAUCAAUUUAUGCACAUAAUCAAAAGUAAGUAUUAUUUAAUGUAGUGUUCGGGGUACAAUAAGAAAUGCAGAGGGAGAAUCCACUUGCCUUGCUCAAACAUUUAUUGUGGGUCUUCCUCAAACGAGUUCAGGUCCUCUACCACGAAAUCAGCUUCUAAUAGAUUCUCACAAUGCACAUACAAAAAAGAAAAAAAUACACCAAUAAAUAAACAUACACCAUUCAACAAUAAAAACAUACACUAUACAAAUCAUAUAAAAAAGACAUCCAAGAAUAAAACUUGAUUCGUAACUUACAAUAUAAACUUAACCAUAACCAUAACAAUGAUCAUCUCAAUUGUUAGGACAUAAACCACUAAUUAUUUUGUUUCACCAUUUUUCUAGAAAAUACUAUAUGCUAAAUUAAUCAUGGAAGCACACACUAUACAGAUUCAUAAAAAUACGUAAAUAUAAUGCUAGCUCAAACUUAAUGGAAUCUAGAUAGUUAACCAGUUAAUUAUUAUAUUUCUAUCGAAAAGCACGUGGGUUAUAUUUCCUUUUUUAACCUUUCAUUUGCAAAUCUACACCACGACCCUAUAAUAAUAUUUAAGAGACAUAUAAUCUAAGAAUCAUUAGAUAACUUAUAUUAAGCUACUAUUUAAACUAUGGUCGCAUGAUUAGUAGUUCAACCUUUUCAACACUUUCGGAUGAAUAGUAUAAACCUCUAUUUACUACCGCUAAGUAUAAGUUACAUGAGUUACAUUUUCCUUUAACUUAAUUUUUAUAAAAACUAUAUUUAAAUUAAUUCUCAACCAUUAUAUUCAAAUUAAAAUACACAAAUGUGAAAGAUAGUGGAGACACUAGAUAAAAUAUUUUAUCACAUACACAUGAAGCUAAUAAUUCAAAUUACACGUGAUUCAGACUCUAAAAUAUACAAAUUUGAAAUAACAAAACGAUGCAGUAAUUAGAUCCUCUAUUAACUAUAAACUUUAGGGUGUAGCACAUAAGAUUAUAGGGACCUAAUUUAACUCUUUUGAACUGGAAAACAUAUAAAUGAGUUUUACACAAAAAUCAGGGGCUAAGCUGCAUAUGGCUCAUCUUCUACCUCGCAGCAACGUCGAAUAGGAGAGGGAAAGAACGGCGUUGAGCUCGGCUUGGCGGCGGGCGGCGCUGCAGAGCUAGAUACCGGCGACGGAGAUCGAUGUGGGUCUUCAGAGCAGUCCUCUGGCGGUGGAAGGUGGCCGAGAACACCAGUGUCGAUGAGGAUAGAUGUCGGCGGCGUGUUCUUUGCGCGCAACAGGAAGGGGAGGCGUGGGGCGAGCACAUGAAGGCGGGGAACGGCACCACGGAGGGCGUAGCUUGCGAUUUAUAGAGAAGGGAGAAGAUCAGAGGUCGCCGGGGGGGAAGAAGGGUCAGCGGCUGUCUUCAGCGCCAUCAAUAGCAGAGACUAUUGUGCCAGCCGUUUCUAGCUCGGUGGAAAGGGGAGAGGAGGCGGCGUAUGCGGUUUCCCGAUCGAGGAGGCGAGUAGGGUGUUGCUGGGCGGCUGUGCUGAGCGAUGGCGACUGUGUGUCUCUACGGGAGCGAGAGAGAUGUGCGUGAGAAGAAAAUGAACUGAGUGG